rnacentral:rRNA from 1 species
UACGGGGGGUGCGAGCGUUGUCCGGAAUCAUUGGGCGUAAAGAGCGUGUAGGCGGCCCGGUAAGUCCGCUGUGAAAGUCCAGGGCUCAACCCUGGAAUGCCGGUGGAAACUGUCGGGCUAGAGUCCGGAAGAGGCGAGUGGAAUUCCUGGUGUAGCGGUGAAAUGCGCAGAUAUCAGGAGGAACACCAAUGGCGAAGGCAGCUCGCUGGGACGGUACUGACGCUGAGACGCGAAAGCGUGGGGAGCAAACAGG